GUGCCCGCUUUGGCAGCACAUAUACUAAAAUUGGAAUGAUACAGAGAAUAUUAGCCUGGCCCCUGUGCAAGGAUGACACCCAAAAAUAUAUUAAAGCCAGUUUUGU
rnacentral:snRNA from 1 species